rnacentral:rRNA from 1 species
GACGAACGCUGGCGGCGUGCUUAACACAUGCAAGUCGAACGGAAAGGCCCUGCUUGCAGGGUACUCGAGUGGCGAACGGGUGAGUAACACGUGGGUGAUCUGCCCUGCACUUCGGGAUAAGCCUGGGAAACUGGGUCUAAUACCGGAUAGGAGCCAUUUUUAGUGUGAUGGUUGGAAAGAUUUUUCGGAGUAGGAUGAGCUCGCGGCCUAUCAGCUUGUUGGUGGGGUAAUGGCCUACCAAGGCGGCGACGGGUAGCCGGCCUGAGAGGGUGGACGGCCACAUUGGGACUGAGAUACGGCCCAGACUCCUACGGGAGGCAGCAGUGGGGAAUAUUGCACAAUGGGCGCAAGCCUGAUGCAGCGACGCCGCGUGGGGGAUGACGGCCUUCGGGUUGUAAACUCCUUUCGCUAGGGACGAAGCUUUUUGUGACGGUACCUAGAUAAGAAGCACCGGCUAACUACGU